CCUACGGGAGGCAGCAGUGGGGAAUAUUGCACAAUGGGGGAAACCCUGAUGCAGCGACGCCGCGUGAGCGAUGAAGUAUUUCGGUAUGUAAAGCUCUAUCAGUAGGGAAGAAAAUGACGGCACCUGACUAAGAAGCCCCGGCUAACUACGUGCCAGCAGCCGCGGUAAUGCGUAGGGGGCAAGCGUUAUCCGGAUUUACUGGGUGUAAAGGGAGCGUAGGCGGCGGUGCAAGCCAGGUGUGAAAGGCCGGGGCUCAACCCCGGGACUGCCGUUGGAACUGUGCUGCUAGAGUGUCGGAGAGGCAGGCGGAAUUCCUGGUGUAGCGGUGAAAGGCGUAGAUAUUAGGAGGAACACCAGUGGCGAAGGCAGCCUGCUGGAGGAUGACUGACGUUGAGGCUCGAAAGCGUGGGGAGCGAACAGGAUUAGAUACCCUUGUAGUC
rnacentral:rRNA from 1 species